rnacentral:rRNA from 1 species
AUGAACAAUAGGAUUUGGACAGCAGACCGGCUUCAGCGCAGGUGCUGGCCCAACAGUAACCUUUGCCCGCUAUGCAAACAAACGCCACAAUCAACAUCUCACCUUCUCUUCCAAUGUCGUUACAUGGUUAGAGUUUGGGGAAUGAUCAAAACGUGGCUCGGUUUACAUGAUGUCCAUCCUACAGAUUAGGGAGGUAUGGUUUCUGUCAAGGAGUGGUGGCGCAACAUAGCUUCUGGGAGGUCACAAUCUCGAAGGGUGCUUCUUUCCCUUAUACUUAUUAUCUCUUGGAAAAUUUGGAAAGAGCGAAAUGCACGUGUGUUCCACAACACAUCAAUUCUGGUCGGUGUGCUUGUGACUCGUGUCAAAGCGGAAACUUCGCUGUGGAGCCUUGCUGAGGCGAAAUAUUUGUGUAAUAUAAUGCCGCGAGAGUGA